GCAGUGGUGGUUCAGUGGUAGAAUUCUCACCUUUCAUGGGAGAGACCCAGGUUCAAUUGCUGGCCAGUGCC
rfam:Loxodonta africana unplaced genomic scaffold scaffold_5, whole genome shotgun sequence.